GUGAAGAUGGCUCAGUGGUAGAGUGCUUGCCUUGCAUGCAUGAAGCCCUGGGUUCAAUUCCUCAACACC
rnacentral:tRNA from 1 species